rnacentral:rRNA from 1 species
GUGACGAAGCGACGCCGCGUGGGUGAGGAAGGCCUUCGGGUUGUAAAGCCCUGUCAGGAGUUAAGAAAUGUAAGUACGCUAAUAUCGCAUUUAUUUGACGAAGGCUCCAAAGGAAGUCACGGCUAACUCUGUGCCAGCAGCCGCGGUAAUACAGAGGUGGCAAGCGUUGUUCGGAAUUAUUGGGCGUAAAGAGCACGUAGGUGGGUUUGUAAGUCAGAUGUGAAAGCCUCCUGUUCAACGGGAGAAUUGCAUCUGAAACUGCGGAUCUUGAGUGUAGGAGGGGAGAAUGGAACUUCUGGUGGAGCGGUGAAAUGCGUAGAUAUCAGAAGGAACGCCGGCGGCGAAAGCGAUUCUCUGGCCUAUUACUGACACUCAGUGUGCGAAAGCUAGGGGAGCAAACGGGAUUAGAUACCCCGGUAGUCCUAGCCGUAAACGAU